rnacentral:rRNA from 1 species
CUGAACCAGCCAAGUAGCGUGAAGGAUGAAGGUCCUACGGAUUGUAAACUUCUUUUAUACGGGAAUAAAGUAUCCUACGGGUAGGAUUUUGUAUGUACCGUAUGAAUAAGCAUCGGCUAACUCCGUGCCAGCAGCCGCGGUAAUACGGAGGAUGCGAGCGUUAUCCGGAUUUAUUGGGUUUAAAGGGAGCGCAGACGGGAGAUUAAGUCAGUUGUGAAAGUUUGCGG